rnacentral:rRNA from 1 species
GAUGAACGCUGGCGGCGUGCCUAACACAUGCAAGUCGAACGAAGCACCUUUUGAGAUUCUUCGGAUGAUCGAUUGGUGACUGAGUGGCGGACGGGUGAGUAACGCGUGGGUAACCUGCCCUGUACAGGGGGAUAACAGCUGGAAACGGCUGCUAAUACCGCAUAAGCGCACGAGGAGACAUCUCCUAGUGCGAAAAACUCCGGUGGUACAGGAUGGGCCCGCGUCUGAUUAGCUGGUUGGCAGGGUAACGGCCUACCAAGGCGACGAUCAGUAGCCGGUCUGAGAGGAUGAACGGCCACAUUGGAACUGAGACACGGUCCAAACUCCUACGGGAGGCAGCAGUGGGGAAUAUUGCACAAUGGGGGAAACCCUGAUGCAGCAACGCCGCGUGAGUGAAGAAGUAUUUCGGUAUGUAAAGCUCUAUCAGCAGGGAAGAUAAUGACGGUACCUGACUAAGAAGCUCCGGCUAAAUACGUGCCAGCAGCCGCGGUAAUACGUAUGGAGCAAGCGUUAUCCGGAUUUACUGGGUGUAAAGGGUGCGUAGGUGGCAGUGCAAGUCAGAUGUGAAAGGCCGGGGCUCAACCCCGGAGCUGCAUUUGAAACUGCAUAGCUAGAGCACAGGAGAGGCAGGCGGAAUUCCUAGUGUAGCGGUGAAAUGCGUAGAUAUUAGGAGGAACACCAGUGGCGAAGGCGGCCUGCUGGACUGUUACUGACACUGAGGCACGAAAGCGUGGGGAGCA